UACGGGGGAGCAAACGUUGUUCGGAAUUACUGGCGUAAAGGGCGUGUAGGCGGUCCCGUAAGUGGUGUGUGAAAUCCGAUGGCUCAACCAUCGAGCUGCGCUCCAUACUGCAGGACUUGAGUACAGCAGAGGAAAGUGGAAUUCCCGGUGUAGCGGUGAAAAUGCGUAGAUAUCGGGAGGAACACCGUUGGCGAAGGCGA
rnacentral:rRNA from 1 species